AGAGUGAACGCUGGCGGUAGGCCUAACACAUGCAAGUCGAACGGCAGCACAGUGGUAGCAAUACCAUGGGUGGCGAGUGGCGGACGGGUGAGGAAUACAUCGGAAUCUACCUUUUCGUGGGGGAUAACGUAGGGAAACUUACGCUAAUACCGCAUACGCCCUUCGGGGGAAAGCCGGGGAUCGCAAGACCUGGCGCGGAUAGAUGAGCCGAUGUCGGAUUAGCUAGUUGGUGAGUAAUGGCUCACCAAGGCGACGAUCCGUAGCUGGUCUGAGAGGAUGAUCAGCCACACUGGAACUG
rnacentral:rRNA from 1 species